CUGAAUUCAAUUCGAGCACUGAUGUCGGGUUUUCCCCUCAGUGCUUUAUGGAAACUGCUUCAGUUCACAGCCUUUGUUCGGUUAAACAAUUCCUCUAGGUAGCAUUGUCCUGCUGGAUGACCGUACAUUGGCGAGGGGACAUUUUAAAAAAAGUGCAAUUAUUUUUUGAAAUGGCAUUGGAAAUUGUGCGUGGCAAAAAAAAAAAAAAAAGGGCACGGGGGAAGGAGCUCUGAAGAAAUCAAUUUGAAGAAAAACUCCCUGUUAGACCCUUUCUGUAUUUGCUAUCUUUCUCUGGGAGUUUUUGCUUGGAAACCUCUGGCAAACAGCUAUCUUUGGGUGAGCUGAAAGAUAUCCCUCCACCAUCUGAUGGCAUCCGACACCAUGAGUUGCCGCAUCUCCCGAGCGUAGCGUUGACCGACUCCACGUUCUCUCAGCACUCGCUCAUUACUGGGGUCCCACGCGCCCAUGGCUCCAACAAUCAGCACAGUGUCAAACUAUCAAGAGCCUCUUCCCAUUGCCCUCCCCACCCAUCAACUUGCUUCAGGAUCAGUGAAAUAGGAAUCAAAUCAGGACAUCUGCUGAUGUCAAGAAGGCUUAAAGAAAUGGAAGGCUUCAACCUGGAAAUGCUGCUUGUGACAUUCCCAUUCCCCUGAGAUUUUGUCUGCUUCUGUUUCAUCAUGAUCACAGAUGUAAUAUCUGACACAGGCAGAGUAAUGAACUCGUGCUGACAUCCCAAUCUUGUGGACACGUCUGCCCUUCUGAAGCUUUCUCUUCUGCAGAAUUAAGCCUCUGGAUGGAUUCGUCUUGUAUUUAUUAAUGCCCAGCUAGGACUGAAAAUUUUGGCCUCUCGAUUAUGUUGAUAGGAUGAAAUCUCUGGAAUCAGAAUGAUGGAUGAGGCUAAAAUAAAGGAUGUGUUCUUCAUUGAAAAUGUUGAGAUGGAUAGUUUUCCUAAUCCCCGUGAAAUUUGAGUCCUCAUUCAAGCUUAGCGCUUUGCUGAAGAAUAGGCCAGAGUUCAAUUUUUUCAGGACUUUUCCGAAAGUAUUACACAAGAAUGCUCGGACUUGUACCAAACAUAACGUUAGUCACACACCCUUGGGAUAGAAACAUGCAGAGAAAACAAUGAAACAAGACUGUUUAUAAAGCCGUCAACACAUUAGCCAGUAGAGAGGAGCCCAAGUUUCCAUGUAAAGUCCUGAAUGGACGCGAGCGACGUGAAACACAUGGAAAAUGUGGAGUAAGGAAUAAAAUUAUAAAUAAAAUAAAUUGGGAAUGCCAUUUUAGUCA